rnacentral:snRNA from 1 species
AAACACUGGCUGCCCAUAUGAGUUUACAGUCUAGAGAGGGAGACUGCAUAAAGCUUUUGCCUUUUACUAAAGAUUUCCAUGGAGAGGAUCAGUUAAGAGUUUGUAACAAUUUUUUGAGGCCUCAUUUUUAGGAGGCU